rnacentral:rRNA from 1 species
UACGAAGGGGGCUAGCGUUGUUCGGAAUUACUGGGCGUAAAGGGCGCGUAGGCGGUCAGCACAAGUCAGUUGUGAAAUCUCCGGGCUUAACUCGGAAAGGUCAACUGAUACUGUGCGACUAGAGUGCGGAAGGGGCAACUGGAAUUCUUGGUGUAGCGGUGAAAUGCGUAGAUAUCAAGAGGAACACCUGCGGCGAAGGCGGGUUGCUGGGCCGACACUGACGCUGAGGCGCGAAAGUGUGGGGAGCGAACAGG